rfam:Triticum urartu cultivar G1812 contig284541, whole genome shotgun sequence.
CACAUACCCUCCUUCCGGAAAUACUUGUCAUCAAAAUGGAUGUAUCUAAAACUAAAAUACAUCUAGAUACAUCAAUUUCAAUGACAAGUAUUUUCGGACGGAGGGAGUAGAUG